rnacentral:rRNA from 1 species
UACGUAGGGUGCAAGCGUUGUCCGGAAUUAUUGGGCGUAAAGAGCUCGUAGGCGGUCUGUCGCGUCUGCUGUGAAAACCUGGGGCUUAACCCCGGAUCUGCGGUGGGUACGGGCAGACUAGAGUGAUGUAGGGGAGACUGGAAUUCCUGGUGUAGCGGUGAAAUGCGCAGAUAUCAGGAGGAACACCGAUGGCGAAGGCAGGUCUCUGGGCAUUAACUGACGCUGAGGGAAGCGGAAAGCAUGGGAGCGAACAGG